rnacentral:misc_RNA from 1 species
UAAUCAAGUGCUUUUAUGGCACUUUUCAAAUCCAUAUCCACCUUGUGUGCAAUGUCAGUCGAUCUCUCAUGGGAGCUUCGACUGUCAAACCUUGUCAACCUUGGAUUUAUCUACUCUAACUUUAUUUUGUCUGAAACAUAUUAUGAAUAACUUAAUUCAAAAUA